CCUACGGGAGGCAGCAGUGAGGAAUAUUGGUCAAUGGACGAGAGUCUGAACCAGCCAAGUAGCGUGAAGGAUGACUGCCCUAUGGGUUGUAAACUUCUUUUAUAUGGGAGUAAAAUGUUCCACGUGUGGGAUUUUGUAUGUACCAUAUGAAUAAGGAUCGGCUAACUCCGUGCCAGCAGCCGCGGUAAUACGGAGGAUCCGAGCGUUAUCCGGAUUUAUUGGGUUUAAAGGGGGCGUAGGUGGAUUGUUAAGUCAGUUGUGAAAGUUUGCGGCUCAACCGUAAAAUUGCAGUUGAAACUGGCAGUCUUGAGUACAGGAGAGGUGGGCGGAAUUCGUGGUGUAGCGGUGAAAUGCUUAGAUAUCACGAAGAACUCCGAUUGCGAAGGCAGCUCACUGGACUGUAACUGACGCUGAGGCUCGAAAGCGUGGGGAGCAAACAGGAUUAGAUACCCGUGUAGUC
rnacentral:rRNA from 1 species